rnacentral:rRNA from 1 species
GAGGAAUAUUGGGCAAUGCCCGCAAGGGUGACCCAGCAACGCCGCGUGGAGGAUGAAUGUCGUAAGAUUGUAAACUCCUGUUAGAGGGGAAGAAUAGUACCGGUUGGACCGGUAUAUGACUGUACCCUCAGAGAAAGCCCUGGCUAACUACGUGCCAGCAGCCGCGGUAAUACGUAGGGGGCAAGCGUUGUCCGGAUUUACCGGGUGUAAAGGGCGCGCAGGCGGGAUAAAAAGUCAGUGGUGAAAUCCUACAGCUUAACUGUAGAACUGCCUUUGAUACUUUUAUUCUUGAGUUCGGGAGAGAGAGACGGAAUUCCAGGUGUAGUGGUGAAAUACGUAGAUAUCUGGAAGAACACCAGUUGCGAAGGCGGUCUCUUGGUCCGACACUGACGCUGAGGCGCGAAAGCGUGGGGAGCAAACA